CCCACCCCAAAGAAGACGACAACCAAAAAAAGUGGGGGUGGGGUGGGGGAGGGGCGAGACUUGUAGAACCAAAAGCAAAAGAAACAUGGAGGGCAGAAAACCAGCUGAACUUACCACACUGCGGGUGAAUUUUUCUAGGGAAGUUCUACGACCUUGCUCACUUUCUGGCUUCGGGGGGAGAAAAAAAAAGGGUAGGGAGAAAAAUACAGGGAAAAAAUUCUUCAGCGUACACAUGGUGAUUUCUAAACAGCAGCAGCAGCCACAGCUAAAGAACAAAACACAGAAGCCAAAUGCCGCAAAAUGGGAAAAGAGGAGCAGCCAGAGCUGUCGGCAGAGCCCAUGGAGAGUCGGAAAACAGAAGCCCGGGAGAACCACACUGCCUCUCUGGAGCCCCGGGGAGGGAAAGUGCUUAAAUAGUGGGUACCAGAGUCACUGUGUGUGGAAGCCUCCGCCUCCCUCUACUAGAACCCAUCCAACAAGGGAAUUGGCAGAAGACUUGGAUUCAGAUUCUCUAACCCAGAGUCUAUACUCAAAGGAACCACCAGAGCUGAACUUUUGACAAUAAACCUUCCAGGACUCCUUUCAUCUUCCCCAGAGUCUUGGGGGCUCUUCUGAGGGUUGUGUAAGAACAGGAAGGUGGACAUCAAUGCUCUCCGGGACUCUGGAGUUACAUGGCACUAACCAGAUAGGCAGACAGGCAAACAUGAAGUGCAGAGAAGGGUGUGAGACUGAGAGGCAACCUGACAGAAAGCCUGUGCAUGGACAGCUACAUGCUUGGAGACAGGCUUUGAAGACCCGGUGGGAAAGAGAAAGGUGUGUGUGUGUGUGUGUGUGUGU